rnacentral:rRNA from 1 species
GAUGAACGCUGGCGGCGUGCCUAAUACAUGCAAGUCGAGCGAACAGACGAGGAGCUUGCUCCUCUGACGUUAGCGUCGGACGGGUGAGUAACACGUGGAUAACCUACCUAUAAGACUGGGAUAACUUCGGGAAACCGGAGCUAAUACCGGAUAAUAUAUUGAACCGCAUGGUUCAAUAGUUCAAGACGGUUUUGCUGUCACUUAUAGAUGUAUCCGCGCCGCAUUAGCUAGUUGGUAAGGUAACGGCUUACCAAGGCAACGAUGCGUAGCCGACCUGAGAGGGUGUACGGACAAACUGGAACAGAGACAAGGUCAAGACACCUACGGGAGGCAGCAGUAGGAAAUCUACAGCAAUGGGCGAAAGCCUGACGAAGAAACGCCGCGUGAGUGAUGAAGGUAUUCGGAUCGUAAAACUCUGUUAUUAGAGAAGAACAAAGGUGAAAGUAACUAUGAACGUAUUGACGGUACCUAAUCAGAAAGCCACGACUAACUACGUG